AGAGUUUGAUCCUGGCUCAGGGUGAACGCUAGUAGUAUGCUUAACACAUGCGAGUCGAACGAAGAUUUUUUCUUCGUGGCGUACGGGUGAGUAAUACACAGGAAUCUGCCUUUUAGUUCAGGAUAAAAUUCUGAAUAAUCAAAGAAAUCUUUUCGCUAAAAGAUGAGCCUGUGGAGGAUUAGGUAGUUGGUGUUGGGUAAAAGCCUACCAAGCCUCUGAUCCUUAGCUGUUCUGAGAGGAAGUACAGCCACACUGGGACUGAGACAAGGCCCAGGCUCCAUUUGGAGCCAGCAGUGAGGAAUUUUGGACAAUGAGCGAAAGCUUGAUCCAGCAAUACUACAUGAGUGAUGAAGGCUUUCAAGUUGUAAAACUCUUUGGUUGAGGAGGAUAAUGACAGUACUCAACAAAAUAGCCCCGGCUAACUUCGUGCCAGCAGCCGCGGUAAGACGAAGGGGGCGAGCGUUAUCCGGAAUGACUGGGCGUAAAGGGUCCGUAGGCAGCAUUUUUUGUUAAUUGUGAAAGAAAAAAGCCCAACUUUUUUAGCUUUUAAUACAUUAAUGCUUAGAGUUUGAGAGGGGAUAGCAGAAUUUCACAUGGAGGGGUGAUAUCCGUAGAUAUGUGAAGGAAUACCAGAGGCGAAGGCGGCUAUCUAGCUCAAUACUGACGUUGAGGGACGAAAGCAUGGGGAGCAAACAGGAUUAGAUACCCUGGUAGUCC
rnacentral:rRNA from 1 species